rnacentral:rRNA from 1 species
UGGGGAAUAUUGGGCAAUGGGCGAAAGCCUGACCCAGCAACGCCGCGUGAGGGAAGAAGGGUUUCGGCUCGUAAACCUCUGUCCUAUGGGACGAAGGAAGUGACGGUACCAUAGGAGGAAGCCCCGGCUAACUACGUGCCAGCAGCCGCGGUAAUACGUAGGGGGCGAGCGUUGUCCGGAAUGAUUGGGCGUAAAGGGCGCGUAGGCGGCCUGUUAAGUCUGGAGUGAAAGUCCUGCUUUCAAGGUGGGAAUUGCUUUGGAUACUGAUGGGCUGGAGUGCAGGAGAGGAAAGCGGAAUUACCGGUGUAGCGGUGAAAUGCGUAGAGAUCGGUAGGAACACCAGUGGCGAAGGCGGCUUUCUGGACUGAACUGACGCUGAGGCGCGAAAGCGUGGGGAGCAAACAGGAUUAGAUACC